rnacentral:lncRNA from 1 species
CUCUCGGUGCAGCUACCUAUAUGAUUGAGUUCCUCUAUCAUGAGUCCCGACUGAAUUAGAGUUAUGGUGAACUCGUCAAACCCAACAUCAGUCAUAUGAAUCAAUCGAUUGAUCCAAGUCCGAUGUGAAACCCCAAUGAAAAAUUUUUUUCUAUUAUUUCACUCUGCCAUGGCCAUGGGCUUAAGGACUCGAUCUUUCGAUCAUCAUAGGACUACUCCUCUUAUCUACCGAGGUUGAUAGAUCCCUUCUUGGUGCGAUCUGGCUCCUACAAUAAAUAUGCUACAGCCAACAUACACCUCAGGAUUCCAAAUGGCUAGAAAAUCGAGUUAUGGUGUAGUCAAACUAUAAUACACUCAAGGUGAACUGUCGAUGUACCUCAGGUCAAAGAACUAGACACACGACUGCAGCAUCGAGCUAGUCAUCAACGAGAAGGUAGACUUCCUUAUGACUGCUCAAGGUGAUCACGCUCAGUACUCUCGUUCUCAACGAAUACCUGUACUCUCGCUCCGAUAUCUCCACACCGUAGACUCAAGACACAUCUAUCCUAAGGAAGCGAUCGUACACCAACCUUUCGGAUCGAUCAUCAUCCUCGUGAUGAUCCUAUGGUCAGGAGCUAUUUAUGAGUUGUUAUGUAAAUUCAUGCCUUAAAUUUUCAACUCUUGAAAAUAUGAAUUAAUAUUCCUACUAACUCAAAGGAUGUAUCACAGACAUAAUGUAUACAAUGUGAUAGUAGAAUAACCUUUUUAUUCAUUUAUAGUUAAAAUUAUAAAUUUGUCCUUAUAUUUGUACAGAAAUAUGUCAGCCAAUCUGGCAUCUAGGGCACACAUCUAACAAAUAUCUCUCUCCACUCCAUAAUUUUUGUAGGGGGUCUGUGUGACAGGCAGACAUACCCAUCUUUAAAACUUUUUAGCCACCUUGCUCCCACUUUCUUCCAUCCUUCCAACACACGAGAAGAAGAGUCAGUCAAGGGGAGGUUGGUCCCAAGCCAAGAAAAGGAGAGAAGUCUGAUUCUGUAAGAAAUUUUAUUUUCUGCUCAAACUCCAAGCCUUGUUAAUGGCUUAGGAGUUGAAAAUUUUUGUAUCAGAAUUUUUAUUCAGUAAUAAAUUAGUUGUUCUCUUUUUAUUUAAUUUUUAUAAUUUUAAUUUCUGCAAUAGGAUAGUUUAAAUUUCUGCAUCUUUUAAUUCUGUAAUUUUCAAUUUUCGCAAGUUCAAUCCCAGCAAAUAAAAUUAAUCUUUAUUUUAUUAUUUUUUUUACUUCAAAUCAACUAUGUCUGGCUAAGCAAUCCCUCUAGAGUUUGCGAUAAAGCUAGAUCAUGAAUAGAAACCUGCUCUAUUGAAUCUCUUUUUUCGAGCUUUUAAUUUUUAAAGUCCUUCUCCCUUCAUCUUUCUCACCAAGAGACUUGAUGGGCUAUCGUUGGGUCAGAAUCCCUUCAUAGUCCAUACUUGAUUCGGUGUAAAAGUGGAUGAUUGGUAGAAGGCUCAAAAUUUUCUAAACUAUUUCUUCUCUUCUUUUAUGAAAAUC